rnacentral:tRNA from 1 species
GACCGUGUAGCUCAGUUGGCAGAGCAUUGGGCUAGUGUUCCAAAGGUCAUAGGUUCGAUUCCCACCGUGGCCA